rnacentral:lncRNA from 1 species
AUGCUCCGAGUAGUGAAGACGCUGCUUGCGGAACUGGCUGAGAAAGGCUUUGAUGGUGUUCAGGGUUUUGCGCUGGAAGAAACAACGUACACAUCCCCGGAAACCUUAAUCCACGUCCCGCAAGGAAAGCGUCCUGCAAGACUGACCGCUUCUCGAGGACAGACCACGUGCUCGGGGACCAUCAGGACCACGCACAGUGACGCAGGAGUGACACGGAGGACGGUUUCCGUCUGGAGCUUGGAGCUGGCAGCGGGGGUACAGAGCCGAGCCCCUUCCCAUGGGAACUCGAGGUGGGGCGGGCACGUGCUGCGGGCGGUGGCUUUCGGUACUGGUGUGACCUACCCACGGUCCCCGACAUGCAAGAGUGGACGGCAGGUUUCCUGGCUUCACGACAGCACGGCCUCCCCAACAGUUUCUGGGGACAGAUGACAUUCUAAUAAAUAAACGUGCUAAUUCAGUGUCGCCCUGAGCCUCUUCUUCCCGUGGCCCAUCUUUCAAGAGACAGACAUUGUCAUUUUACCAAGAGCAGUCUUGCAUGUGUUUUAAACAACC